UACGUAGGCAGCGAGCGUUGUUCGGAGUUACUGGGCGUAAAGGGUGUGUAGGCGGUUGCUUAAGUUUGGUGUGAAAUCUCCCGGCUCAACUGGGAGGGUGCGCCGAAUACUGAGUGACUAGAGUGCGGGAGAGGGGAGUGGAAUUCCUGGUGUAGCGGUGAAAUGCGUAGAUAUCAGGAGGAACACCGGUGGUGUAGACGGCUCUCUGGACCGUAACUGACGCUGAGACACGAAAGCGUGGGUAGCAAACAGG
rnacentral:rRNA from 1 species